UAGGGAAUCUUCGGCAAUGGACGAAAGUCUGACCGAGCAACGCCGCGUGAGUGAAGAAGGUUUUCGGAUCGUAAAACUCUGUUGUUAGAGAAGAACAAUGACGUUAGUAACUGAACGUCCCCUGACGGUAUCUAACCAGAAAGCCACGGCUAACUACGUGCCAGCAGCCGCGGUAAUACGUAGGUGGCAAGCGUUGUCCGGAUUUAUUGGGCGUAAAGCGAGCGCAGGCGGUUUCUUAAGUCUGAUGUGAAAGCCCCCGGCUCAACCGGGGAGGGUCAUUGGAAACUGGGAGACUAGAGUGCAGAAGAGGAGAGUGGAAUUCCAUGUGUAGCGGUGAAAUGCGUAGAUAUAUGGAGGAACACCAGUGGCGAAGGCGGCUCUCUGGUCUGUAACUGACGCUGAGGCUCGAAAGCGUGGGGAGCAAACAGG
rnacentral:rRNA from 1 species